rnacentral:tRNA from 1 species
GGGCGCAUAGUUUAGUGGUAAAACAGGGAUCUGAUAAGUCCCAGUCCCAGAUUCGAUUUCUGGUGCGCCCA